AGAAGUCCUACCACUGAAAGGAUGUGCGGGUAGAAAUGAGCAAUUGCAACUAGAAGAGCCUGUGUGCCCACAAUCAAGGGUAAGGAGGAGUGUCAUGGAGCAGGUCAAAUCCAAGAUGGGUGUUCCUGAUCUGCCUGUAGCUCUCCUCCAACCCAGACUCCUUUCAAACUGUGCCUCCACCAUCUUCAAUAUGGAGCUUCCAAGAUUGCCCUGCUGCCCUGCAUCAAGCCUGCAAAAGAGGAUAGGGGGUCAGGCCACUCAUAUUUCAUUGGCCCAAAUUCAGUCACAUGGCCACACUCACUGCAAGGGAAGCUGGGAAAUGGAGUCUAGCUCUGUGCCCAAGAAGCAAAGAAAAACAGAUUUGAUGAAGACUUAGUCAAUCUCUGCAACAAUGAAACAGAUAAGAAGGCAAAAGAAAAAGAAUUUUACAACCUGAGGAGGGAGAGAAAAUUCAGUUAACAAAAAGAUAGACUACAUGCCAAGGUAGUCUGCAGAAUUCUACCUACCCAAAUUAUGUGUUAAAUUGUGAAAGAAGUUAUGAUAAAAAUAGGAUGAGGGUGAAAUUUGAAAAAUGCUCUGGGGACACAUAGCACACUCCUUCCCUGGUGACACAGUAGGCAGAACCAAGCCAACUAUAAAAGGAAGCUCAGUGUGUUUAAUCUGUUGCUCGGAUAAAACCAUCCUGGAAAAACUCCCAGUUUUACAAUCUAACUGAUCAUCAGUAUCUCAGUUAUACAAAUAACUCCAGCCUGCAUGAAAUACCUUCUUGCUCCCCUUGACUUGUAAAAAUAACUUUGUUUCAAUGGAAAAGGUGUAGAAAAUGGACGUUGAAGCCAAUCAAACUCAUAGUAUCAAUACUUUGUGUUAAGCUUUAGGAGUAAGUUUUGUAAUCAUUGCAAUCAGCUUGUUUUUGUUAUUUAAGCAGCUUAAAAUGAUUAAGAUAAUCUGACAUAUUAGCCUUACGAUUUUAUUUUGGAAUGAUAAACUAAUACUCAAUUUGUAAUUUUCACUUGAAAGUUGCAGAAUAAUUGAAUAUGUUCUUUAAAAGUGUUUGAAUAUUCAGAAGAAUCUAAUUUACUACAUGUAUAAACUAGUAUUAUUACAAGAGUUCAUUGAGAUAUUGAAGGAUUUUUCUUGCUUUGUUUGUAAAUGUUGCCCCAUCAGGCAUUUGAAGUGUUUGAGAAAGUCAAAGUUAUUAAAUUUGUAAAGAUAGUUAAAAAUAUUUUAGGAAAUCUUUUUACAUGUAUAAAGAUGGUCAGUUUGAAGAAAUUUAAUGUUUUUAAGUUUGUAAGUUGAUUGAACACUAAUCAAACAAGAAAAGCAAUUGUUCUCAUUUUUAUAUAAAAAUCACUAUAUUUACAAAUAAAAUAACCAGGUUUAUAGACUAAGCUUGAAGGCCUAAAACACAUUUUAAGUGUAAGGGCCAGGGGUAGGGGGGCAACAAAGAGCAAGAAGCCAAGAGGAGCUAAGAAACCGGAACCUGAGCUGCAGUCCCCAGAGGAAGGGACUUGCUUGGAAGUCUACUUCCUCCCAGAGGUAAGCUGUCGAGUCAUAUGGGAAAGAGGUAGUGAGACUAAUGGGCAGAAUCAGGGUCAUUCCUGGAUUUCUGUCUAAAACAGGGCAAAGAGGAGCAGGGGUAGGGCCCAGCAACAGGAUAUGGGUCUGACAGAGAUUCAAGAUGGGUAGCAGGGCCCUGUGUGGACAGAGGGUGCACAUAAGAAGACGUAAGAGGACAAUGGAGAGGCUACACCAUAAUGGAGAUGUCUGGCCACUUGGUGCUGAGAUAGAGA
rnacentral:lncRNA from 1 species